AAAAUUAAGGCUUUACAACUACAUAUAUUUCUAUUAGUCAUUCGAAGACAUUUACUUCAUGAAAUGUUAAGGAGUUUUCCAUCAAUAAGAUAUGAGCUACUGUUUCCAUGAGUAUCGUAAGUAUGGUAUAGUAUAACAUAAAGUAUUGAGAGAAAAAUUAUCGUUUAAAUAUUUUUGCUUGAAUCACUCAAAUAUGGAAAUAAUAUUGAACAAACGAUAGUUGAAUCCAUUUUUGCAAAUCGCUCUAUGUUUGAGGUCCCUCUGGGAGUAUGAGCUACAAACCAUGUACAAUUACUGAAAUAAUAUACCGGCUAAUGGAUGAUCGUUUCGUCACCAAAAUUUACAACAAUUCCAAAUUGAGUUUUUAUUGUUUAAGAGUCGCUAUAAAAUACAUAACUAUAUACAAAAUUUUAAGCUUCUGAUAUCAGAUACAAACGUACUCGUAUAACCAAGUUGUAACCAAAAUUAAAUUUUUUUCAAUAUGAGUAGUUACUAUUUUAUAUUGUAUUUUCUUCUUGCUGUGAAGUUAAGAAAGUGAUAUUACCUUAUAUUGCAUUUACUACCAACUACCUACACAAGUUUCUUAUUUAUGUGCAUGUGCAUAAUUAUAUAAAAGUUUAUUUUCCAGUAUUGAUAAAACUUUAUAUUAAAACAGACAUUGCGAAUGAAAUCAAUAUUCGCUAUUCUCCGCAAUCAUAAUUCAACAACAUAUCGUUUCUUAUUGGAUUAUACCAUAGGUCAUGAAUUCGGUAAGUUUUUUACCACAUUUUGCUUCAUACACCAGAAAUUUAUAUCAAAAUCAAUGUCAAUUGAAAUACAUGAGAGUAUAUUGAGUUUAUGAUGAUUGGAAAUCAGUAGUGGCGAUAAGCAGAUUAUUUUUAAGAAAAUUAUCACACAUGUUGAGCGACAUAAGGGAUUUAAAGUCAGUCGGAAAUCAGUAUAUCGGUUAUAUUUGGUUUAGAGGAAGAUCUGGGGUCGAAUUGUUACUUCCGUGCACGGAUCGGCAAACAUACGAAAGAAAGUUAUGUGAUACGUCAAUCGUAUGCGGUGAUUGGCAUUAUGAUAUACGAUAGCAAACGGAUCGUAAUGCAUUUUCAAUUCACAAUAGUUUUUAAAUUCCAUAUUGCUUUGGAUCGUAUUUUUAGGACACAAUAGAUGGGGCGACAUUUUCAUUAAGGGGUUAUAUGCAGUUAGGAUUUUCAAAAAAUAUGUGAGUAUACACACACAGAAUUUCAAUAUUUUCGAAGUUUUAGACACAUUAAUGAAGCGACUACAUGUAAAGUGCUUUCAAAACUUUAAACUCGUUUUUCUCGAAACGGUGCUUUCAAAGUCGGUGAGCAAGAUUUCUCAGAAAGGGCUGAACCGAUCGGUCUGAAAUUUUCACACAAGCUUUCUAAAUAUAUUUUUAGUAACUAAUCGAAGGAUUUCCCCAUCCGAUGAAAAUUUCUUAUUUUUAUAAACAAUUAAAGACCCGAAUUUUGGUCGAAAAUCGAACCUUUUGCUUUGAGUAGCCGCCAUUUUGUCAAAAAAUUAUUUUUGCCAAUUCCUUCGAUCAAUCACUAGAUUAUUUAUUAUAUUAAUGAAAUUUAUUUGGUUUUUGCAUUUUAGAUGAUCCAGUCCAGAGAUAUUGUGCUCACCGCAAGAGGCCUUUUUUUUGCGGACCACUGCAAAAAUGGCAAUAUCAACGUUCCCUAUAAUAAUUUUUGGCAAUAAAAAAUCUGUGAAUAUAGUUUAAGGUUGUCAUAAUAUACCUGCCAAGUUUCAAAUCAAUAAACCAAAUAGUUUGCUUAGAAAAAAAUCUUGAAAAAUAACUUUUUCGCCGUCCUCCUAACUGUAUAUAACCCCUUAAACUAACAAAUGUAAUUAAAUAUCAAAAUGGAUCCACCUUUGUUUUUUUAUUUGAGCUCUAGAGAAAGUGAUGGAGAUAAAAAAUAAGAUGUAUCGUUGAACAAAGCUUUGGAAUCUUAAAAAGACGUUGGAGAAUUUUAGGAUAUGGCAAGAGAGGACGGUAUCACCCCACAAAAGUGGAAGGUUUGCUAACGUUUGUGAGUCAUUGCAUAACAUCUGCAUAAAAUUUACAGCUGGUGUACGAUCCAUACGAGCUUUUUCAACAACGGAACAUUUUGAAAAGUUUAUGGAGUAUCAUACGGACCUGGACCUCUUCAGCACAAGCCAGCGUUACUUCCACACAUGAUGACUUCUUCGUCGCUACGGAGUUGCUGUGACUACCUCGUGUAUGUGGCGCUGGCGAAGGUGGUAAUUGUGUGGCGAACCUCUUCUUCUUCUCUUGGUGCCACUUCUGCUACCUAAAUUGCUUACAACCAUUAGCGUGCUAACAAUUUGCCUCAAGCAGCUACGUACAGUACAGCAACUCUUCAUCAGAAACCAACCCGUCCCAUUGAAGCUCACGUUGCAACGGCGAACUCAUCCCAGAAACGGUGAGAUACAGUUAAGCGGCUCUGUUAUGUUUUAAUUGCCUCAGAGGUGAUCAUGGAUCUCGCGAUUGUAGAAAGGUCCGGUCAUUUCUAAUUAAUGGGGAUCGGACCAUUUUACUAGCGACUGCGUAGGUCAUUCUUAUUGAUCACAACAGAGGACAAUUCGUGGGCUCUCAGGCGUCCAGAGGAGAUACGAAUUGAGGAAAUUGGUUCUAACCCUGCAGUCUACACUAAGGUUCAUAUAACAGUGCAGAUACACUGCUUUGACAACAGCAGAAACUUCAACCUCAAGGCUUAUGUCGUGCCGACAACUGACAACUGGUACUGACGUCCUAACGGGUCUCUUUCAGAAGGGUGUCAUACAGGGUUCUAGAGCAAUUUUGCGCUUUAAACACCCGACUUGGUUGGGUGGUAUUUGGAUCGGUCGCAAGUUCUGCUCAGUCCACAUUACCUACAUCUCUUACUUCGAAAUGCUUCAACGACGAAGCCAAUAAAGACUAGACAUG